rnacentral:rRNA from 1 species
UACGGGGGGGGCAAGCGUUGUUCGGAAUUACUGGGCGUAAAGGGCUCGUAGGUGGCCAACUAAGUCAGACGUGAAAUCCCCAGGCUUAACCUGGGAACUGCGUCUGAUACUGGAUGGCUUGAAUUCGGGAGAGGGAUGCAGAAUUCCAGGUGUAGCGGUGAAAUGCGUAGAUAUCAGGAGGAACACCAAUGGCGAAGGCAGCUCGCUGGGACGGUACUGACGCUGAGGCGCGAAAGCGUGGGGAGCAAACAGG